rnacentral:rRNA from 1 species
CAGCCGCCGCGGGAAUACGAAGGGUGCAAGCGUUAAUCGGAAUUACUGGGCGUAAAGCGUGCGUAGGCGGUGAGUUAAGUCUGCUGUGAAAUCCCCGGGCUCAACCUGGGAAUGGCAGUGGAUACUGGCUCGCUAGAGUGUGUCAGAGGAUGGUGGAAUUCCCGGUGUAGCAGUGAAAUGCGUAGAGAUCGGGAGGAACAUCAGUGGCGAAGGCGGCCAUCUGGGACAACACUGACGCUGAGGCACGAAAGCGUGGGGAGCAAACAGGAUUAGAUACCCCCGUAGUCCCUGUCUCUUAUAC